CCGGACUGAGACUAAAUUAGCUCCCUGGAUCUCCAAGAUGAACAGGACCGUCCUCUGUAGAGAGAAUAUCUUAUGUGUGGAUGCAUCACCUGUAGAAUAGAAGGUAAGAUUCCAGGAGGCAAUGAGAAUUCUGGGAGAGAGCCAGGCACAGAAGUCAUCCGAGAAGAUGUGACAAGACAUGCAUGGUACCGGAGCACAGGCAACCAGCCACAUGACAGAAUAGCAUCGGAAGUCAGAGAGAUCUCACUUCUAGCUGAACAGCCCACCUGUCUACUUCCUUGCCUAGACAGUAUGUAGCGGUGACCCUGUGCACAAGUGCAGAUGGAGUACGUGGCGUACCCAGCAGCCUGCAGCUGAUGCUGUUACCAGGGACCAGCACGAUGCACUUCAUCUGCAUAGUCACUAAUGAGAAGGCUGAGCAAACAUCCUGCAGGCCACGACUCCAGAAGACAGCGGUGCUCCUGGGACCAGUAGCCUCUAUCCAGGAAGUCUCCAGGGGAGAGAGAGAGGCCUGUGCCCAUUAUCAACUCUGCCGUCCAGUCUAGAAACUGUGGUUGGACAAGGUCAUCAUCUCUAUCCCCAGGGCCAUAUUUGUCACCCAACCACAGACAGAGCUGUCAUCACUUCACCAUCUGCUGAGCCUUCUUGUAAAGACACGGUAUCCGCAAGUGUCUACCCUCACAGUAGCUGCCUCUUUUCCCAUUGUUAUUCUCUGGGAGCCCACCCUCCAAACAGCGCAUGCCCAGCCUCCAAACAGCGCAUGCCCAGCCCAAUAAACACUGCAAAGC
ensembl:lncRNA